rnacentral:miRNA from 1 species
UUUCGGUGUCGGUGAAUUGCC